GACCCCACUUCUAGGACCGCAUUUCUAGGACCCUAGUUUUUUAGUGACAGCGCCACCUACCGAAUUAGAGGACCAGCGAAGAUGGAUGACAUUCAGAGUGAGUCAGUGAUGAUGUUGUCCAUGUGUUUGUCCAUCCAUUGAAGUUCUGUCUAUGUGGUUCACGUCAUGAUCAAUUUUGUUUUUGUGUGUUCAAGUUCAGUUGUUAUAUAUUAUUUUGUAAAAUAUUUAGUGUGUUCAAGUUCAGGUGUUAUAUAUUAUUUUGUAAAAUACACAAUCUUAAAUCUA